GCCUUUGGCACAAUGGGUCAGUGCAUCUGGCUGUUAACCAGAAGGUUGGUGGUUCAGGCCCACCCAGGGACA